ACAAAUACGUGUGCACACACACACACACACACACAGCUUACCAGCAGUUCCAACCUCCACCGUCUGCUCUGUCUCCGUGACCGGCCUAUAAAUGAAAUUUACGCAUGUGCAGUUGUUUCUGUGCCUGUUUGUGUGUGUGUGUGUGCAUGUGUAGUUGU